UAGAGGGCCUUAUGUAAGUGUCACAGAUUCUUCUACAGAAUUUCUAUCAUCACUUCUUUCUGUCUUUGUUAUAUUAGAGCUUUUAUGUAAUUAGUAUCAUUCAAGGUAAAACAAAACACAUUUGGAGGCUGCAUUAGUUGUCAUGAUCAUGGAUGUUGGAGAAGAAGAACAUGGAAAACAGAAGUCAACUUGCCUUAACCACAAAUUAUGUCAACCUUGAUUUCCUGGGCAUGACACUGUCAGAAAGUUGCUCUACAAGUCAUUUGGAUAUGAAUCAUGAGUGCAGAAGAAGUUUUACAUGUGAAAUAACUCUGAAUACCACCUUGGAGAAAAGUAUAGAAAAUGAUUCUUAAUUCUUCAAGUCUGAGCAGUUAUAUGAAUGCAGCUUCCUGCCUUGGAUUCCUGCCCUGCAUUUUUGGAGAUGAGUUGUGGUGUGGAAGUGGAAGCAAAAUAAACCUCCUCCUCCCCAUUCAGUGUAUCGUUUUAUCACGGCAAUAAAAAUGCUAAAGCAAUAAGCCUUAUGGAAUGAGCAAGAACCAAGGACUAAAUUCCACUCUGGCUUUAAGAGACCUUUCCAAAUGAGAGGGAGGGCAUAGAGAGCUGAAAGUGGAGAACAGCACCGUACAGGUGUACAGAUUCCUACUACAGAAGAAGCAUGUCUGGCUCAGAGGAUAAUGCUGAGAACAGGACAGGAAGAUGGAGGAUGAGAUUGUUAGGGAAUAUCUGACAGUGCAGUGUGGCUUUGCUGCCUCUCAUGAUCUACGAGAGACAUUUACAAGUGAAGAAAUAUAACCAUAUUAUUCUUCAAAUAAUGAAAUAACAACAAAAACAAUCAAGCAGUGCUUUUUAGUGACCUCAAAAGGAGAUACAUGGUCAGUGUUGGAGCUGGGGAGAUAUAUUUGCAAUUGGAUUUCCAGGUAGUUCAAAAAUUAGUCUUGACAGCAAUAUGCAAGAAAAGAAUUGUUGGCAUUCUUAUCUGAAGUCAAAUGCUGUGAGGUAUCUUAAAGGUGGAGGCACUAUAAAGUUGGGAAAUGCAUCACAUGUGAUAGUGCUUUCUGAAGAACAGAGAUACAUGGACUGUGAUGUAUGCAGAGUUAUAGAAUAAACACAAAGGAGCAAUUUAUAUGUUUCAAAGAGUUGUCCUGUUGUUUUCACUCUGACAAAGUAUUUAAGUGAUAAGUUAGAUAAUUAAAAAAUAACAAAAACAGUGUAAUUAUUUCCAAGCAAUAUCAUCUGUAUUUGAAAAUGCCAUACCAAAUAAUAGCAGGUCCUCCCUUGUUGCCUGUGACCUUUCCAUGCACAGGUUCUUGGUCAUAAUAAUGGUCCCAGGUAUGGAUCCCACCUUGUAUUGUUGGCCUUGAAGUCAAUCAGAAAGUGUUUUGCUGCUCCCAUAACUUGUGUGCCAUUACUGCAUCAGUAGGCAUAUCUUACCAAGCUAGUUUUGAACUUCUGGACACAGUAAAGAACUUUCUUAACAGCUCCCAGUAGCACAGGAAUUAAAAAUCAAUGAUUGGCAAAUGAGAUUACUGGUAACUAGAAAGUUUCUAUGUGUCAAUGGAUACCGUUAUUUGAAUGAAGAAGAUUUUACUGGGUAAAAAUCUUCACCAGGUUUACAUGAUAGAACAUUAAAACUACUAUGAGAUUUAAUCUUAGCACUGUCAGAUUAACAGAAGAAGAAGGAGAAGAGGAAGAGGAGGAGGAGGAGGAAUAAGAGGAUGACAAAUAGUGGUUUGGAUGUGAAAAAAGGAUUUAAUGUUUGUAUUUUAAAAGAGGAAAAAUAAAUCAAGGAACAAAGCAAUAAAAUUAAGGAAAUGUAAUAACAUAUGUGAACAGCAGGGCCAAUACCCUGCUGUUUAUAUAUGUUAAUAUCUCUUCCUCUAAGGAUUUCCAAGUCUCUAUAUAUUCUAGACAUUACUGUCUGUUCAGAGCCUUCUUCUUAAACAACUAACAUGAUAGUCAAUAUUAAUUGUCAACCUGACAGGGUUUAGAUCCACCAAGUGUGGUUGUCUGGAUGACAUUAACUUGUGGGAAUGCCUGUAAGAGAUUUUUGUGAUUGCACUAUCUAAAUCAGGAAGUCUCACCCUGAAUGUGAGUGGUGCCUUUCAGUUGUGACCCGUUUGCAUGGAAGACCAAAGGGACAGCUCCUGCUUUCUCUUAAGCCUGUUUGCCUUCUAACAUCAUUAUUAAGUUCUAUUCUGUUGCUGCUGUUUCUACUCUAUCCUUUACUGACAUCAAAACAUAGCUCUGACUUAGGAUACUCAAUGUGACUGAAGACCAGUGGAUUUCCAGAAAUCCAUGGGACCUCUCUUCCAGAUUUGGAGUGCAAAGACAUCAACUCUCCUGGUCUAAACAGCUCUGGGUUAUUAGCAUGUUCAGUGUGAAGACAGCCAUAUUUGAAUCACACAGGCUGCUUCCUAUAUGCCAAUGUGAUAAAACCUCAUUUAAUAAAUAUUUAUUUUACUGGUGACAACUCUGGCUAGUAUAACUAGUUUCUCUAUGGAUUAUCUAUAUAUUUCUUCAUGUUGUUUUUUUUUGUAGACAAUGUUUAUUUAAAACA